AUUGAACGCUGGCGGCAUGCCUUACACAUGCAAGUCGAGCGGCAGCGCGGGGGCAACCCUGGCGGCGAGCGGCGAACGGGUGAGUAAUGCAUCGGAACGUGUCCUCUUGUGGGGGAUAACCAGUCGAAAGACUGGCUAAUACCGCAUGAGAUCGCAAGAUGAAAGCAGGGGACCCGCAAGGGCCUUGCGCGAGAGGAGCGGCCGAUGCCUGAUUAGCUAGUUGGUGGGGUAAAAGCCUACCAAGGCGACGAUCAGUAGCUGGUCUGAGAGGACGACCAGCCACACUGGGACUGAGACACGGCCCAGACUCCUACGGGAGGCAGCAGUGGGGAAUUUUGGACAAUGGGGGCAACCCUGAUCCAGCCAUGCCGCGUGUGCGAAGAAGGCCUUCGGGUUGUAAAGCACUUUCGGCCGGAACGAAAUCGUCACCGUUAAUAGCGGUGAUGGAUGACGGUACCGGAAGAAGAAGCACCGGCUAACUACGUGCCAGCAGCCGCCGUAA
rnacentral:rRNA from 1 species